rnacentral:ribozyme from 1 species
ACCAUCGGCGGUUGUGUAAAAGGGUUGGAUCCGACGCCUCUAGAAGGCUACUAUAGGCUCUCCUUCUCAACUCCUACUCAAUACGUCCACGUCGUGCAGAACGGUAACUUGUUGCUCAGAUCCAAGCUUGGGUACACGGGGAAACCCAACCCCUCGGGCGGAUGAGCGGCAAGGCAGAAUUGAGAGGU